rnacentral:lncRNA from 1 species
CACCUCCUACGUGUUUCUCGUGACCGUAAACAUGCUUCUGAUGUCAUUCUGGUUGGACAUCUGACCACAGCUCUACGUAGAAACUGGAAAGUUUGUUUAAAAGGAUUGGUCUUCUUGGCUUGCAGUCACACAUUUUUAUCAUGGUUGAGGCAACGACUUUAUUUUAUUACUAACUCCAAUCUGAGAAAAAAAAUGAAACGUGUUCAAAGGAUUCAUCAAAAGCCCUAAAGAAAAGGGAAUUUCAUGCCCGUCUGGCUGCAGCCGGACCUGUCUGCUUAAACAUCUUGUCAGACAUUUUGGUUUAAGCAACAAACUUCCCUGUUGAUCAAGAUUUUUUUUUAAAUUCCUGAUCUGCUGGAUGUGCCAACGGAGCUCAAAUGAAAUCUUUUCCACAGUUUUACCAACUUUCUGCUCUGAGUCGUAUAAUCUGAAAGAGCUUUUUGGCAGAACGAUUCCUUUCUUUGUCAUGAUUAUUUUAGGACAGCACCACUGGGUUUUCGUCUCUGAGCUCAGAUAUGAAGUGACUUGAUGCACCUUGUUUCUGCCUCCUCCCGUGUGCUCCCUGCUGGUCCACUAGUGAUCAAGAUCUCCUUAUUGCUAGCUCACAACUCUCCUUUGAGCUCUGUGAUGUGACGUUCAGUGCUGUUUCCACUGUCAGGGGCAGAUCAAGUCUGUUUCAUUCAGAGAUGUUUUUGUCUGAUUACCAGUCAGAUAGGUGUGUAAAGCAGUGUCUGUGUUUACCUUCUGCCCACAGGGUCCUCCUGGUUUCCCGGGUCCUCAGGGUCCAUCCGGACCAGCUGGUCAGCAGGGUGAGCGCGGGUCGCCCGGCCUCUCUGGACUCAAGGGCGAGCAGGGGCCUCCGGGAACGCCUGGUUAUCCGGGAGCCAUGGGACCGCCCGGAUUGCCUGGACUGAAGGGUGAGCGUGGAAGCCCGGGAAGCGCUGGUCAGAAAGGAGAAUUGGU